rnacentral:rRNA from 1 species
GUCUUUAUGAAUAAAUAUAAAGUUGAACCUGCCCAAUGAUUAAUUUAAAUGGCUGCGGUAUAUUGACCGUGCAAAGGUAGCAUAAUCAUUAGUUUUUUAAUUGGAAACUGGAAUGAAUGGUUUGACGAAAAAUAUUCUGUCUGCGUUGUAAUAUAUUGAAUUUUAUUGUUAGGUUAAAAAGCCUAAGUGUAGGUAAGGGACGAGAAGACCCUAUAGAGUUUAUAUAAUUGUUGUAAUUAAAAAUUUAGUUAAUUAUUAUAUUUAAUUAUUAUAAUUAUAUUUUGUUGGGGUGAUGAGAGAAAAAUAAAAACUUCUUUUUUAAUAAGACUAUAAUAAUAGGAUAUAAUUUGAUGAUCUUGUAUUAUGAAAUGGAAGAGUAAAUUACCUUAGGGAUAACAGCGUAAUUUUGUUUGAGAGUUCUAAUCGAUGAUAAAGUUUGCGACCUCGAUGUUGGAUUAAGAUGACUAUUAGGUGUAGAAGUUNAAUUAGUAGGUC